GACGUAGGUGGCGAACGUUACCCGGAAUUAUUGGGCGUAAAGGGUGCGUAGAUGGCAUGAUAAGUUAUUAGUGGGAAAUCGAGGCUCAACCUCGUGGAAGCUGGUAAUACUGUUUUGCUUGAGUGCAGGAGAGGUUAACGGAACUCCAUGUGGAGCGGUAAAAUGCGUAGAUAUAUGGAAGAACAUCAAUAACGGCGAAGGCAGUUAACUAUUCUGCUACUGACAUUGAGGCACGAAAGCGUGGGGAGCAAAACGG
rnacentral:rRNA from 1 species